rnacentral:rRNA from 1 species
UUCAAAAUGAGAGUUUGAUCCUGGCUCAGGACGAACGCUGGCGGCGUGCCUAAUACAUGCAAGUCGAGCGAGCAGAACCAGUAGAUUUACUUCGGUAAUGACGCUGGGGACGCGAGCGGCGGAUGGGUGAGUAACACGUGGGGAACCUGCCCCAUAGUCUGGGAUACCACUUGGAAACAGGUGCUAAUACCGGAUAAGAAAGCAGAUCGCAUGAUCAGCUUAUAAAAGGCGGCGUAAGCUGUCGCUAUGGGAUGGCCCCGCGGUGCAUUAGCUAGUUGGUAAGGUAACGGCUUACCAAGGCGAUGAUGCAUAGCCGAGUUGAGAGACUGAUCGGCCACAUUGGGACUGAGACACGGCCCAAACUCCUACGGGAGGCAGCAGUAGGGAAUCUUCCACAAUGGACGCAAGUCUGAUGGAGCAACGCCGCGUGAGUGAAGAAGGUUUUCGGAUCGUAAAGCUCUGUUGUUGGUGAAGAAGGAUAGAGGUAGUAACUGGCCUUUAUUUGACGGUAAUCAACCAGAAAGUCACGGCUAACUACGUGCCAGCAGCCGCGGUAAUACGUAGGUGGCAAGCGUUGUCCGGAUUUAUUGGGCGUAAAGCGAGCGCAGGCGGAAGAAUAAGUCUGAUGUGAAAGCCCUCGGCUUAACCGAGGAACUGCAUCGGAAACUGUUUUUCUUGAGUGCAGAAGAGGAGAGUGGAACUCCAUGUGUAGCGGUGGAAUGCGUAGAUAUAUGGAAGAACACCAGUGGCGAAGGCGGCUCUCUGGUCUGCAACUGACGCUGAGGCUCGAAAGCAUGGGUAGCGAACAGGAUUAGAUACCCUGGUAGUCCAUGCCGUAAACGAUGAGUGCUAAGUGUUGGGAGGUUUCCGCCUCUCAGUGCUGCAGCUAACGCAUUAAGCACUCCGCCUGGGGAGUACGACCGCAAGGUUGAAACUCAAAGGAAUUGACGGGGGCCCGCACAAGCGGUGGAGCAUGUGGUUUAAUUCGAAGCAACGCGAAGAACCUUACCAGGUCUUGACAUCUAGUGCCAUCCUAAGAGAUUAGGAGUUCCCUUCGGGGACGCUAAGACAGGUGGUGCAUGGCUGUCGUCAGCUCGUGUCGUGAGAUGUUGGGUUAAGUCCCGCAACGAGCGCAACCCUUGUUAUUAGUUGCCAGCAUUAAGUUGGGCACUCUAAUGAGACUGCCGGUGACAAACCGGAGGAAGGUGGGGAUGACGUCAAGUCAUCAUGCCCCUUAUGACCUGGGCUACACACGUGCUACAAUGGGCAGUACAACGAGAAGCGAGCCUGCGAAGGCAAGCGAAUCUCUGAAAGCUGUUCUCAGUUCGGACUGCAGUCUGCAACUCGACUGCACGAAGCUGGAAUCGCUAGUAAUCGCGGAUCAGCACGCCGCGGUGAAUACGUUCCCGGGCCUUGUACACACCGCCCGUCACACCAUGGAAGUCUGCAAUGCCCAAAGCCGGUGGCCUAACCUUCGGGAAGGAGCCGUCUAAGGCAGGGCAGAUGACUGGGGUGAAGUCGUAACAAGGUAGCCGUAGGAGAACCUGCGGCUGGAUCACCUCCUUUCUAAGGAA